GGGUGUAGCUCAGUGGUAGAGCACAUGCUUAGCAUGCACAAGGUCCUGGGUUCAAUCCCCAGUGCCUCCU
rnacentral:tRNA from 1 species